rnacentral:rRNA from 1 species
GACGAACGCUGGCGGCGUGCCUAAUACAUGCAAGUAGGACGCAGUUGCGAACGGGUGAGUAACGCGUAGGUAACUGCCUAUUAGAGGGGGAUAACUAUUGGAAACGAUAGCUAAUACCGCAUACUAGUAGAUGGACCUGCGUUGUAUUAGCUAGUAGGUAGGGUAAUGGCCUACCUAGGCGACGAUACAUAGCCGACCGGAGAGGGUAAGCGGACACACUGGGACUGAGACACGGCCCAGACUCAUACGGGAGGCAGCAGUAGGGAAUCUUCGGCAAUGGGGGAAGCCUGACCGUGCAACGCCGCGGGAGUGAAGAAGGUUUUCGGAUCGUAAAGCUCUGUUGUUAAGGAAGCGGUACUUAACCAGAAAGGAACGGCUAACUACGUGCCAGCAGCCGCGGUAAUUC